ACUGAACGCUGGCGGCAGGCCUAACACAUGCAAGUCGAGCGGAAGAAGGGAGCUUGCUCCUGGAUUCAGCGGCGGACGGGUGAGUAAUGCCUAGGAAUCUGCCUGGUAGUGGGGGAUAACGUCCGGAAACGGGCGCUAAUACCGCAUACGUCCUGAGGGAGAAAGGGGGGGAUCUUCGGACCUCACGCUAUCAGAUGAGCCUAGGUCGGAUUAGCUAGUUGGUGGGGUAAAGGCCUACCAAGGCGACGAUCCGUAACUGGUCUGAGAGGAUGAUCAGUCACACUGGAACUGAGACACGGUCCAGACUCCUACGGGAGGCAGCAGUGGGGAAUAUUGGACAAUGGGCGAAAGCCUGAUCCAGCCAUGCCGCGUGUGUGAAGAAGGUCUUCGGAUUGUAAAGCACUUUAAGUUGGGAGGAAGGGCAGUAAGUUAAUACCUUGCUGUUUUGACGUUACCAACAGAAUAAGCACCGGCUAACUUCGUG
rnacentral:rRNA from 1 species